rnacentral:rRNA from 1 species
AUUGAACGCUGGCGGCAGGCCUAACACAUGCAAGUCGAACGAGUGGCGGACGGGUGAGUAAUGUCUGGGAAACGGCCCGAGGGAGGGGGAGAACGACUGGAAACGGUAGCUAAUACCGCAUAACAUAGGAUGUGCCCAGAUGGGAUUAGCUAGUAGGUGGGGUAACGGCUCACCUAGGCGACGAUCCCUAGCUGGUCUGAGAGGAUGACCAGCCACACUGGAACUGAGACACGGUCCAGACUCCUACGUGAUGCAGCAGUGGGGAAUAUUGCACAAUGGGCGCAAGCCUGAUGCAGCCAUGCCGCGUGUAUGAAGAAGGCCUUCGGGUUGUAAAGUACUGUCAUCGAGGAGGCGUUACUCGCAGAAGAAGCACCGGCUAACUCCGUGCCAGCAGCCGCGGUAAUAC